UACAGAGGGUGCAAGCGUUGUUCGGAAUCAUUGGGCGUAAAGGGCGCGUAGGCGGCCACCGCAAGUCGACUGUGAAAUCUCCGGGCUUAACCCGGAAAGGUCAGCCGAUACUGCGGGGCUAGAGUGCAGAAGGGGCAACUGGAAUUCUCGGUGUAGCGGUGAAAUGCGUAGAGUAUCGAGAGGAACACCUGCGGCGAAGGCGGGUUGCUGGGCUGACACUGACGCUGAGGCGCGAAAGCUAGGGGAGCGAACGGG
rnacentral:rRNA from 1 species